rnacentral:lncRNA from 1 species
AUAAAGAUGCUUAAACUAUACCUCUGGGGUUUGGGUAGGGUCUAGAAUCAUAAAUAUUAGUUAUAUAAUACGUUUAACUUAGUUCUCACAUUUAAAAAGUAGUUUAUGUACUUUUCCAACACAAUUCUAAUCGAUGUUCAACAAAAUAUGUUAAAAAAUGUUGAACUCAAAUUAUAUAUGUGUUGAACGCAUAAAGUUUGUAAGUUUGUAAGUUUGUACCAGAACC